rnacentral:rRNA from 1 species
GAUGAACGCUAGCUACAGGCUUAACACAUGCAAGUCGAGGGGAAACGACAUCGAAAGCUUGCUUUUGAUGGGCGUCGACCGGCGCACGGGUGAGUAACGCGUAUCCAACCUGCCCAUCACUUGGGGAUAACCUUGCGAAAGUAAGACUAGUACCCAAUGAUAUCUCUAGAAGACAUCUGAAAGAGAUUAAAGAUUUAUCGGUGAUGGAUGGGGAUGCGUCUGAUUAGCUUGUUGGCGGGGUAACGGCCCACCAAGGCAACGAUCAGUAGGGGUUCGGAGAGGAAGGUCCCCCACAUUGGAACUGAGACACGGUCCAAAGUCCUACGGGCGGCAGCAGUGAGGAAUAUUGGUCAAUGGGCGAGAGCAUGAACCAGCCAAGUAGCGUGCAGGAAGACGGCCCUAUGGGUUGUAAACUGCUUUUAUAAGGGAAUAAAGUGAGAGUCGUGACUCUUUUUGUAUGUACCUUAUGAAUAAGGACCGGCUAAUUCCGUG